CCAGAUGGGAUUAGCUAGUAGGUGGGGUAACGGCUCACCUAGGCGACGAUCCCUAGCUGGUCUGAGAGGAUGACCAGCCACACUGGAACUGAGACACGGUCCAGACUCCUACGGGAGGCAGCAGUGGGGAAUAUUGCACAAUGGGCGCAAGCCUGAUGCAGCCAUGCCGCGUGUAUGAAGAAGGCCUUCGGGUUGUAAAGUACUUUCAGCGGGGAGGAAGGGAUGAAGCUUAAUACGCUUCGUCAUUGACGUUACCCGCA
rnacentral:rRNA from 1 species